rnacentral:rRNA from 1 species
GGGGAAUAUUGCACAAUGGGGGGAAACCCUGAUGCAGCGACGCCCGCGUGAGUGAAGAAGUAUUUCGGUAUGUAAAGCUCUAUCAGCAGGAAAGAAAAUGACGGUACCUGACUAAGAAGCCCCGGCUAACUAC